ensembl:lncRNA
AUUACCACCAAUAUAGUUUUUAAAUUAAAUUUCAUUUUAAAUUGAAUCGCAAAUUGUAAUAAAACUGUCUACAGAGUUGAUUUAGAAAAUAAUGUUUAACACAAGCAUGUUGUAACGUCCCACUGUUUAAAAAAAAAAAGAAGUUUUUUGUACACUAGCAGUUUGCAGUCCCACACUCAUCCACACCCAAAGGUUCCUAAACUCCACCUUGAUUACUUGUUACUGGAAGUGCAUUACUUAAUCAUUAACUUUUUGGUUAUCUUUUAAUAAAUAGAUAAAGACUUGCAUUGUACUGACACUUUGACACUUAGCAUUGUUUGUUUAAAGCAGCAAGUCGAGUUUCUAGCAGGUAUUUCAUUCAUUUACACUUGUUUUUUUUGGUUUUUUUUGCAAACCAUGAUUAAACUCUAAUACAGACAAAGAGACAGUGGAGCUCUGUAGACCUGAAACUUGACUUUUGCACUUCUCAAUAUCAAUGAGACUACACGCUUCUAAAACUGUAUUGCAGAAGUGACAACGCUAUUUUCAAAAAACAGCUGCAUUUGUGAGUCAACAGAAAUGCACCUUAUGACUUGGGUAAGCUACGAAGACGCACCGCUUGAUGGAUUGUUGGAGCAUUACGGCUACCGUAGUCAGGAGCCUCGCAGAGGAAUCCGGAUCCAAAACUCCGUCAGCUUCAGGUCCCAAAGUCAAACAAUCACUGCAGCAUCACUGAGAGUUACAAACUGUCUAAAUUCUUUCAUCUUUAAUAAAAUGUUC